GUGUAGUCAGGGGUUGGGGUCACCUGAGGUGUGCAGCUGACGUGGAGGGUAUUGGGAAUGUGCCGAGGGCCUAGCUAGUGUGCCUUUUGUGGGGCAGAUGAUGAAAAGCUUUCUGAGACCUGAGAGAAUUCAGCAUGGACCACAGAGAUCACCAAGCCCAGAGUCUCAACAGGGUCUCCCCACAGGCAUCCUGCCCGGGGACGUUUUCAGGACGCUUGAGAAAGCAACGAUGACUGCAUCCCACUGCAUGAUUCUCAGAUUUUAUGUCACUUUUUUUGUGUGUGUGAGAAAGUGGGAUGCGGUGAAACUUUUUUUUUAAAGUGCUGGUAUUACUUGAAAAUCGUUUAUUACUAAACUGUCUUGGGUGCAAGAUUAGGAUGCAUGGAAUGCUCAUGAAUAUGUUAAAAUUAGUCCAAAUAAAAGCAUAUUAUUUUUUCACAAUAGUUGAGUGAACAUUUUUCCUGACAGUAAAAAAAAAAAAAAAUCACGUUAGUUGCUGUUGACUUUUGCAUACAGUUGAAACAUUGUACCUAAGAAAAUUUACUACGGUAUUGCGAAAUUUGGGCUUUAAAAAAGAAAAAUGUAAG
rnacentral:lncRNA from 1 species